GAAAUGAAUGCCUGAGGUGGAAUGAUCUUCUGGGGGAACUGAGCAAGAUGCAAUUUAAUGCCUCCCCUCUCAGAGUCAGAGAGCAUCCAGCCUGGGAGAGAGAAGCUGAUAGCCCACAACUGCCAUGUCCCCAAAGGGGUUGUACUUCAGGUUCUUGGGAACAUGACCCAUGAAGUCCAACAACAAAGGCAGUCAGGCUGGUGACUCAAACUGGAGACUUCCCUGUAAUCUCAACCUCACUGCUCCACUCCUCUGACUACCUCCAAGCCCUGCAGAGCAUUGCUCUCCCUCCUCAGUGGAAUUCUGUGAUCCCUGCUGAUGACCCGCUGCUCAUGAUCCAUAGUUGGCACCAGUUACAGAAGACUUCUGGAAGAGAGCACUGAAGUGUUUGGGUUUGGUGGGAUGGGGUGGCAGGGAGGGAAACAAAUUAGGAGCACGGGAGCUUGGCAUCUAACACAGAGGCCUGAGGGUGUCAGGUUUGGGUGAACAACUGCUCUAUCACAGUGUCUGUGUAACUGAAACUCUGUCCAAAGAACAGAAUUUGUUCAAGGUUUUUCUCUUCUUGCACUGCUUUUCCUAUUUCCCUCUUGUUUUCCCAGAAAUAGAACAUGACAUUUAUUUUUAUGGACAGCAUGAUCUUAUGGCUAUUCCCCUGUGAUGGAGUAAUCUGAACACAAUUAUGUUCUGUUGACAAAAAGUGAUAAAAGUGUAUUGUGUCAACACUCUGAACUAACAGAUUUGUCAUCUGCUCUACUCCCAGAUAAUAGAAACAGAAUUAGAAAAUGCUCUGACAGACUCUACCCUUUCCUAUGCUUAGCUGACUUUCACUUGAGUUCAUGGACAGAAAUCUGCCUGGACUCUUCUUUUCCUGAGAAGACUCCCACAUUCUGCCCAACAUGUAGGGCCAGCCCCAAACACAUGCAAAUUUUCAGUGAAAAGAUGUGCACUCAUCAUAACAUAAACCAACAUCCCCUGCUAGGUUUGAAGACAAGUUUGCACUUCCAGCUCUUGGUUAGUUGGAUGACAAUUACUGCUUAAGAACUAAAAGAAUGAUGAAAUCCUUCAAGCAAAAUAGAAGAAGCUUUUUCAUGGUCAAAAAAAAAAAAAAAAAGCAAUUUCUAAAAUUUCUGUGAAACAUUUUGUUUUCCAGCUGUGAUUCUUUCACUGUUAAAUGCCAUU
rnacentral:lncRNA from 1 species